UUCUACACAAUUGAAAGAGAAGAAGGAAUC
rnacentral:piRNA from 1 species